UAAACAUUGAUAUUUGUUACACCCACUAUCCGCCCGGGUACUACGAGCAUAAGCUUAAAACCCAAAGGACUUGGCGGUGCUUAAGAUCCCCCUAGAGGAGCCUGUUCUAGAACCGAUAAUCCCCGUUUAACCUCACCCUCUUUUGUUUUUCCCGCCUAUAUACCGCCGUCGUCAGCUUACCCCAUGAGGGGCUAAUAGUGAGCAAAAAUGGCACAGCCUAAAACGUCAGGUCGAGGUGUAGCAUAUGAGAGGGGAAGAAAUGGGCUACAUUCUCUAAUAAUAGAGAACACGGAUAAUAUAUUGAAACAUAUAUUUUAAGGAGGAUUUAGUAGUAAGUAAAAAUCAGAGUGUUUCACUGAACUAGGCCCUAAAGCGUGC
rnacentral:rRNA from 1 species